rnacentral:misc_RNA from 1 species
GUUCAGUUAUUCUCGCAUUUUUUGCUUCAAGGCGCUUUUCCGUCUUUCCGAUCCUCUGAAGAUGAUCGGUUCUCUUUGAAAUUCGAAGUUUAUAUAUUUCACUGUCUUUUAGAAUUGUAUAUCAAAUUUGUAGGUUUCUAGGUAGAUUGUGCGCGCGAGCUCUAGCUAAAAGUAGUUGAAUUUGGCAAAUUUGGUUUCAUUGGAGGAAGUGACUUUUAGUUGCAGCUCUUCGGAUCUUGCUGAUCUUUCAUCAAAAUUGCCCGUCUUAUUACGCAAUUAAUGAGUUGAUGAACAAUUCGAAAUUACAUAUAUCUGAAUUCUUAUUCUGUAGAAUUGUGUUGUAAUCUUGUUAUUAAUUGUCUAUUUAACUUCUCCUUCUGCAAUACUUCCAAUUUGAGAUCUCGAUGCAAAACAACUUGCAAAUUUUUAUUAGGCAAAUAAUAAAUGCUAUACCUUGUAAUUCUUAUCAGCUAUAUGCGUUUUUUUAUCGGGUAGUCUAGUUGUCUCUUUGUUGGUUGAAUUACCUUCCGAAUUUUGCCAUGCAGAGUUCCAUUGCUGGAGAGGAGA